CGUCCGAGUUUCACCUACCAUGGCGCCGUUCGAUGCCGCAUUGGGAUCGAUCCAGUCGUCCACCUGGCCUACGGUGCCGGUUCUUCCACCACCAUCAGAUCGAUGAGAGGACAACAGACGGUCAAGAUCUUCCCAACAUAUCCCCACACAGCCAAAACCCUAGCAGCGCUCGCGGCCCGCUCGCAUAUGGCCUCAUCCGCCGCCACGCUGCUGUAGCCCUCUCACGGGCGGACGGCGACGCAUCGGCGCACGCAGCCGGGCGCCGGUUCCCCGCCUCACGCAACGGAGUGAGGGCAUGGCGUGCGUGCCCCUCUCUUUCCCUCCCCUUCUCUUCUUCUCACUCUUCUUGCGCCCUCGCAGGUUUUUUCCUCCAUCGUCAUCGGCCCAUCAAUGGCAGUUCGUCCCACAUCGAUUGCCAUAUUGGCAGCAUCAAUACAUAGCAUCAUCUCGAUGGUCUGCGAGCUCGAGCUCGAGAUGUGGUAUUUACCCAUAUCAUGCGAAUCAUUUGAGCCUUCCGGAUCCCAACUCCUGAAGCGUCCAGGGCGUAUCUGUCUCCAUCGUUAGGCGCUGCUGUUGUUCAGACAAGCUGAUCUACCGUCUCUCCUUUCAAGUUACAUAGUUCAAGUCGUCAUUCAUUACUUCGACAAACAGUCUGCCGAGUUCAUCAACUCAGCUGCUGGGGCCAUCACCGUCUCCUACGUCAUGCAGCUACUGACUGGGAGGAUAUGCAUAAUGUGCUUUUUACAGAGGGACAAUGUUCUAGGUGUUUGCAAAAAAGCACGUGUGAGGGCACAAAUCCAUACUAAGGCAGAUCGCCAACUUAUACUGUCAGGACAUAUGUGUUUUGGAUAUUUUUUCCCUUCCUUUUCCCUAUCAUCCUUCUCUAUUGCCUACUUGGGAGGGAGUUUUCAGCAGUAAUAUAUGCCACACAAACCAUAUCCGAUAUACUUUCCAUCAGUGGGGGAGAGUAGUUUAGAUGUUGGGUGAGUGCAUUUCAUUGUUGGAGUGUACCAGUGUAAAAUGUUCUGAAAUUAUUUCGUAACUAAUAAAGCAAAUUUACAACCUUC